GGCAGUUUUAUGGCUGAACGUUGAGGGCAGUGCAGGUCAACCUUUAUCAGGAAUUGAAGGUGAAAUGAAAUACUGUACUGCAGAAGGAGACGAAAACACAAGUCGGGUACGUCGCUGCUUGUUUUUGCUUUGAUGGCCGCAUCUAUUAGGCAGUGAUUUCUGGCACUUCCUCCUUGCUGCUGUCACCCCUCACAAACCCCAUCGCUGGGGGUCUGGUGAAGUUGUGUGUCCCUGCAGCAGGAGCCACUCCUGCCCCGGCGCAGCAAACCGCAGCACAGCACUGCACAGCCUGCGCGUGGAUCCACACUCAGUGGGACUGACAAAGAACUGGGAGCGAGUCAAUUUUAAACAGUGCUACACAAUAAGAUGCAACUUUUCCAAUCAAGUUUUGAAGUUGAACAAGAUGAAAACCAAAAAAGCUUUCAGUGGUGUAAUGACAUGAUAGCGUCAAUUGCGUGCGCCUGGAGGGAGCAGAAGAGCACACACCGGACAUAAAUGCGCACUUAACUCAGGAAACUCAUAGACGUGAAGGUAUGAAGUAGUGCCGUGUACUUUGAAAUCUAAUAAAGAGGCCUAAUUUUUAGAUCUCACUGAGAGCUGCUGGCUGCACAGAACCCUUGCCAAUCAAAUCGACCUUUUUGCCUUGCUUCCCAAGUAAAGGUGGGAGCUGGCUUUGACAAUCAUCAUCCGAGUUUUUCCAGGUUGAUUUCAAUGGGAGUUUGGCUGAAGGCUUUGAAGAAGAGAAGGUUUCCCCUCUACUGUUGAAAAUUGUGGUUGCAGCUGAUACUGCAUUGAG
ensembl:lncRNA